UUAGAGUAUAGGUUGUACAUUUCAUCACCCGGUUGGUGGCAUGAAGAAGAGUACGGGUUGUACAUUUCAUCACCUGGUUGGUGAGAAUAAGGGCAAGGUGUCGAGGCACAUGGUAGCAAGUGUCGAACGACACAAAGUAUGUUGAACCCUUUCGAAGCACAAUUGGCUUAUGUAUGAAUGUGUUGGAAUGUAUGAUUGAACGAAUAUACUGUGAAGCUGUUCAUUUAUUUAUAUAGUCUUGUUGACAUAUACUUAGACUUUGUUUCAUGUUGGAAACAUUCAUGUUGAAGCUUUGAACCCGAGUGUUUCAUUGCUAGGAAUGUAAGAGGAUUAGGACAGAGUUGUCUAAAUCACCUCUUUAUUGAAUUCAUGCCAAAUAGUCUUCGUUACAUAGGAUGUCGAACGGUUGAAGCUUAACACUUGUACAAUGUGAGUUUACUUGUAAUAGUACUUCAAGUGAUCAGCGUUCCAUAGAUGGCCAAGGGUCUUGCCAUCAGAGCUUCUAAGCUUGUAGGAGCCAGUGCGACUGAUGCCAACAACUUCAAAUGGUCCAUCCCAGUUUGGACUAAGUGUUGCUUCACUCGGGACUUUGUCUCAGAGUAAUCUUUUCUUCAAUACCCAGUCCCCCACUUUGAAAGAAUGAGGUUUGACCCUUGAGUCAUAGUAGUUGGAGAUGUGCUGCUUGUAGGCGAUAUUCCUCAAGUGAGCCUGGUUUUUGUGUUCCUCGACUAGAUCUAAGUUGAGGGUAAGUUGUUUGUCAUUUUCACUUUUCACGUAGUUCUGGACUCGGAAUGUUGCUUGCUCAAGCUCAACUAGGACAACUACCUCUGUACCAAAGGCAAGUGAGAAUGAGGUUUCUCUUGUUGAUGUCCGAUACGAAGUAUGGUAUGAUCAAAGAACUUGGGGUACAAAUUCUGGCCAACAACCUUU
rnacentral:lncRNA from 1 species